rnacentral:rRNA from 1 species
GAUGAACGCUGGCGGCGUGCCUAAUACAUGCAAGUCGAGCGAAUGGAUUAAGAGCUUGCUCUUAUGAAGUUAGCGGCGGACGGGUGAGUAACACGUGGGUAACCUGCCCAUAAGACUGGGAUAACUCCGGGAAACCGGGGCUAAUACCGGAUAACAUUUUGAACCGCAUGGUUCGAACUUGAAAGGCGGCUUCGGCUGUCACUUAUGGAUGGACCCGCGUCGCAUGAGCUAGUUGGUGAGGUAACGGCUCGCCAAGGCAACGAUGCGUCGCCGCCCUGAGAGGGUGAUCGGCCACACUGGGACUGAGACACCGCCCAGACUCAUACGGGAGGCAGCAGUAGGGGAUCUUCCGCAAUGGACGAAAGUCUGACGGAGCAACGCCGCGUGAGUGAUGAAGGCUUUCGGGUCGUAAAACUCUGUUGUUAGGGAAGAACAAGUGCUAGUUGAAUAAGCUGGCACCUUGACGGUACCUAACCAGAAAGCCACGGCUAACUACGUGCCAGCCGCCGCGGUAA